UUGAACGCUGGCGGCAGGCCUAACACGUGCAAGUCGAGCGGAUGAAGGGAGCUUGCUCCUGGAUUCAGCGGCGGACGGGUGAGUAAUGCCUAGGAAUCUGCCUGGUAGUGGGGGAUAACGUCCGGAAACGGGCGCUAAUACCGCAUACGUCCUGAGGGAGAAAGUGGGGGAUCUUCGGACCUCACGCUAUCAGAUGAGCCUAGGUCGGAUUAGCUAGUUGGUGGGGUAAAGGCCUACCAAGGCGACGAUCCGUAACUGGUCUGAGAGGAUGAUCAGUCACACUGGAACUGAGACACGGUCCAGACUCCUACGGGAGGCAGCAGUGGGGAAUAUUGGACAAUGGGCGAAAGCCUGAUCCAGCCAUGCCGCGUGUGUGAAGAAGGUCUUCGGAUUGUAAAGCACUUUAAGUUGGGAGGAAGGGCAGUAAGUUAAUACCUUGCUGUUUUGACGUUACCAACAGAAUAAGCACCGGCUAACUUCGUG
rnacentral:rRNA from 1 species